UCGGGUCGGCAUGGCAUCUCCACCUCCUCGCGGUCCGACCUGGGCAUCCGAAGGAGGACGCACGUCCACUCGGAUGGCUAAGGGAGAGCCACU
rfam:Hepatitis delta virus (HDV) RNA genome